CCUGUCUCUUGUCACAUCCCUGCAGAUGGAGGCCAGAACUGUUGCCAUAGGCCUCGUUUGGUUUCAGUUUUCACAACUUUCUUUCCUUGCAACCAUUGAUUCCCAAACCUUUCCCAGUAGGGCAAGCAAUGUGAAACAAACCAAAAACACCUCUGAGACUGUAGCUCAAUCUUGUCCCAGGGCUGCUGGCACAGAGGUAGAUUUGGUCCCCAGAGUACAGGAACUCAGGAGGCACGACUGAAGGCAAGGAGGUCUGCCACACGUUAAAUAUAUUUGAUUUUCUGUAGGCUUUCCCAUGCAGCCUGCAUGCCCUCAAUUCUUUUGCAGAUCUUUGCAAAAGAUAAUUCAGUUCUAUUUACGUGUGGCUCCUUUGCAGUUCUUUUCAGUACUGCAUUAUGGAAUUACUCCUCCGAAUACUGCCAGGAAAGUUAAUAAUAUCCAAGAUCUCAGAUUAAAAAUUAAAUAUGGGUAUAACAUUAUUUUCCUCUGAUAACUUUUCACGUGUAGUACUUACUACUGCAGAGUUUUUCCAGAAAGAAAAAGAGGAAGAUCUGCACUUUGAAGCAGGGACGGCCUGCUGGCACUACCUAUCAAAUCCAAUGCUGGCGUCUCCCUUCUCCCUCUCCUUUUUGUUGUUUUGCCAUCUCUCAGGGGUUGGUAAAUAAUAGUGCGUUAGCCUAAGGAGUUCCUGCUUGCUGCUCACUGGGAUUAUUUAAAAUGGAUGCCUGUGUUUGAGCGUGUGUAUAUUGAAUAAAACUCAAAACCCUCUGUGCUGCUCUAAAUGCGUAGUUUGCUUGCCUCUGCUCCUGAGACAACCUGUCUCUAGGAUCCAAACGUACCCUGAAACACGUGGCCAGAUGGAAGUGAUGUGCUCACUCCUAGUGGAAUGUGGGAUACCAUGGCAGAUUUAUAAACGUACGUAAGGGAAUUGGGAAUGAAAGAGGCAAUUUAUGGGGAAGACUUUAUAAGGAAGCCCCGACCUAGAUAAAUUUAGACGUCAGAUGAGAGAUCUUACCCUGCAGCAAGCCCCCUCUCAUCAGUAUGGCACUCUAGUAGCUAUUUG
rnacentral:lncRNA from 1 species